rnacentral:rRNA from 1 species
GGCGGGCGGGGUGCCUAUACAUGCAAGUCGAGCGGACAGAAGGGAGCUUGCUCCCGGAUGUUAGCGGCGGACGGGUGAGUAACACGUGGGUAACCUGCCUGUAAGACUGGGAUAACUCCGGGAAACCGGAGCUAAUACCGGAUAGUUCCUUGAACCGCAUGGUUCAAGGAUGAAAGACGGUUUCGGCUGUCACUUACAGAUGGACCCGCGGCGCAUUAGCUAGUUGGUGAGGUAACGGCUCACCAAGGCGACGAUGCGUAGCCGACCUGAGAGGGUGAUCGGCCACACUGGGACUGAGACACGGCCCAGACUCCUACGGGAGGCAGCAGUAGGGAAUCUUCCGCAAUGGACGAAAGUCUGACGGAGCAACGCCGCGUGAGUGAUGAAGGUUUUCGGAUCGUAAAGCUCUGUUGUUAGGGAAGAACAAGUGCAAGAGUAACUGCUUGCACCUUGACGGUACCUAACCAGAAAGCCACGGCUAACUACGUGCCAGCAGCCGCGGUAAUACGUAGGUGGCAAGCGUUGUCCGGAAUUAUUGGGCGUAAAGGGCUCGCAGGCGGUUUCUUAAGUCUGAUGUGAAAGCCCCCGGCUCAACCGGGGAGGGUCAUUGGAAACUGGGAAACUUGAGUGCAGAAGAGGAGAGUGGAAUUCCACGUGUAGCGGUGAAAUGCGUAGAGAUGUGGAGGAACACCAGUGGCGAAGGCGACUCUCUGGUCUGUAACUGACGCUGAGGAGCGAAAGCGUGGGGAGCGAACAGGAUUAGAUACCCUGGUAGUCCACGCCGUAAACGAUGAGUGCUAAGUGUUAGGGGGUUUCCGCCCCUUAGUGCUGCAGCUAACGCAUUAAGCACUCCGCCUGGGGAGUACGGUCGCAAGACUGAAACUCAAAGGAAUUGACGGGGGGCCCGCACAAGCGGUGGAGCAUGUGGUUUAAUUCGAAGCCACGCGAAGAAACCUUACCAGGGUCUUGACUUCCUCUGACAACCCUAGAAAAUAGGGCUUUCCCUUCCGGGGAACGAAUGAAAAGGGGGUGCAUGGGUUGUCCUCCCCCCCGUGUC